CCUACGGGUGGCUGCAGUCGAGAAUCUUCCGCAAUGGGGGCAACCCUGACGGAGCGACGCCGCGUGGAGGAAGAAGGCCUUCGGGUUGUAAACUCCUGUCACGACUUACGAAAAUGCAGCGUGUAACAUCGCUGCACUGACAAAGGGUCGGAAGGAAGCCACAGCUAACUUCGUGCCAGCAGCUGCGGUAAUACGAAGGUGGCAAGCGUUGUUCGGAUUCACUGGGCAUAAAGGGCGCGUAGGCGGUUCCGAAAGUGAUCUGUGAAAGCCCCCGG
rnacentral:rRNA from 1 species